rnacentral:lncRNA from 1 species
AUGGUUUCCUGGGAGUCUUCCCCCCACAGCAGCACCCCAUUGUCCUGGCUGCCAUGGCCUAGCAGCUGCACUCCAUUUUUGGAUGGUUCCCCCACAGCAGCACUCCACUCUCGGAUGGUUCCCCCACAGCAGCACUCCAUUUUUGGAUGGUUCCCCCACAGCAGCACUCCAGUCUCGGAUGGUUCCCCCACAGCAGCACUCCACUCUCGGAUGGUUCCCCCACAGCAGCACUCCAUUUUUGGAUGGUUCCCCCACAGCAGCACUCCACUCUCGGAUGGUUCCCCCACAGCAGCACUCCAUUUUUGGAUGGUUCCCCCACAGCAGCACUCCACUCUCGGAUGGUUCCCCCACAGCAGCACUCCAUUUUUGGAUGGUUCCCCCACAGCAGCACUCCACUCUCGGAUGGUUCCCCCACAGCAGCACUCCAUUUUUGGAUGGUUCCCCCACAGCAGCACUCCACUCUCGGAUGGUUCCCCCACAGCAGCACUCCAUUUUUGGAUGGUUCCCCCACAGCAGCACUCCAGUCUCGGAUGGUUCCCCCACAGCAGCGGGGCGCUGUCCCGCUGCCGGGCCCUAGGAGCUGCACUCCUCGCAGUGGCAGGAGAGGAUGUAGCGGUAGGUGGCCGUGAGCCGCAUGCCCCCCGAGCAGCGCAGCCUCAUGGCCUUCAGCUUGGAGGUCUGGGGGCGGCAGCAGUGGCAGCUGGAGCGGAAGGGCUGCUUGAGGACGGCGCUGAAGGAGACCAGGGGCUCGGAGCGCGAGCUCUGGCUGCAGCGGCCUUCGCAGCGAGCCAGCAGCACCAUCUGCCAAGGAAAACACAGCGUUAGGAGACCUGUCCCCAGCACACGGCUGGCACAGCUGGCAGCACCAUCUGCCAAGGAAAACACAGCGUUAGGAGACCUGUCCCCAGCAUACGGCUGGCACCAGGUGGGAGACUCCUUCCAGCCUGGUUUGGUCGCUGCAUCCCAGCCCCACACCCUGCUUUGCCCUGGGCUGUGUCUGAGACAGUGGAGGAGAUAACGUGGGUAUGAGGAAAAGCAAAAUUUCCCCCUGAAAUCCCUGGAGUUGGAACCCUGAAGCCUGGGAGUUUUGAACUUUCUGUGUUUUUCCGGCACUGAGCCUCAAAAGAAAGCUGCAUUUGACUUGAGGCCUUGGAGAAGGCUUCAAAUUUGAGUGAUGGAGUUGGAAUCACUGGUGUGUAGUUUGAAUAAAAGUGUGUUUCACAUGAUGAAGGAUUUGGAAUUUAGGGUUUUAGAAUAUAGCAAUAGGUACUAUUGCUAUAGAACGUUAUAGGGUGUUGUCUUUUUUUUCCUUCUUGUUCCUUCUUCUUCUUAGUUUUAGGUAGUAGUUUUUGGUUGGAUAGAAAGUACUGCACUGUGGGUCACAAGUGUUUGGUCAUUGGGUCAAAAGUAUAAUAUAAUUAUUAUAAUGUUAUAUAUAUAUAUAUAAUGUUAUAUACAUAUUCUAAUAUAAUUAUAAACAAUGUUAGUUUUUAAUUGGACAAUUAGCCUUUAAAAGAUGUAACUAGCUAGAUCCACCGACACUUUCACGCUUUCAGCUUGUUAGAAGUGCUGAAGAACUCACUGUACUAUAGAUAAGAAUGAAUAAACAGCUGAGUCCAAACACAAAAAUCCUCUCUCUCGUGCUUUCAAUCUCUGACUGAAGGCAGGAGGAAAAAAGAAGAUUAGUCACUAAUAUGUGGUGCCAGUAAUACCUGGCACUGACACCAAAGACUGCAGGACCUGGACUGGCCUUAGGGCUCCAAAUGAUCACAGCCAGUCCUGCUUUCCAGACACUGUGGCUGCAACUGCAUUGUGCUGACUCCAGAUCCAUGGCAGUCAAGCCCUUAAAUCAUCAGUCAGGCUGAUUCUUUGGUUGGAUAUUUACCAGUGUUUUGAGUAUACACACCACUGAUCAGCAGAACUGGUUCUCGUGUCUCAAGUUUAGAUAUAUGAACAUGUGAAGUAGAAAUAUGAAGAAGAUGCUCAGUGCAUUGCUUUAAAGAAAUAUGUUUCUAGCUCACUCUUUUGACAAAGAUCACCUUGAGCAUGUAUUUGCAAUUAUAUGUGUAUUGUAUCAGUUGUAUCUAUGUAAAAUGCACUGCAUAGCAUAAGGCAGUGAAAAUGUAAAAGUUGAACUGGUUGCCAAACAGGAAGAUUCCCUAGUGAGAUUUUCAAAAAACAGUGCAGCUCCAGGUUUCUUCUUCAGAGUUCAAAUGUGAGCUGUGACCAGAAGAAGGUAACUUGCACAACUGGAGACACUAAGGAAGGAAAGUCCAUGAGCAGUCACCUUCUCUCCAACAAGCCCUUGAGCAGAGAUACAGCAUUAAGCACUACAUAAAUCUUGAAAAGGACCCUCUAAAGCUCAGCAAAUGAUGUGUUAGAAACAGCUGUUACCACCUUGAUAACGGGUGCUGUACAAGUUUAAACAGACUCCUAUACUUUCAUGGGGACGGAAAUAUCAAAUCCAUGUCAGCUAAUUUUGCUUAACCAAUAUAAACUUCAAUAUCAGCUUAUUACAUCAUCUCAAGUAGGCAGUAAAACAGUUUUAAGUCUUUCCUAUAACCAAGGUAGAGCAUUACAUUUUAACUCUGCUACACAUAUCUCUUUUUUUUUCCCAGAAAAUCUGAAAGAAAAACUACAGACGUGACAGCAAACACUUUACAGCGCUAAACCUUUUUGAGCUUCUUUCAUUACACAAGCUCAACUGGAUGCAAAUCUCUAAGUUAUGCAGGCAGGUACAUUGAAUGUUUAAUUUUCUCUUUAGUCAGAGUUGUAAGGAAAGGGGAGAUAAAAGAGAGAGAAUAUUCCUGAAAUCAAGUAGGAAAUGCUGGCAUUGUCUGUGUCCACGGGAAAGGUUCUGAUCAUCCAUUGUACAGUGCUUAAAAAUUCUCUUCCAAGAGUGCUUGCAUGCUAAAUGUUUUGCUUGAAAAUGUAUUAAUGUAUUAAUACAUUAACAGCUACACUUCCAGUCAACAGAGAUCACAAAGAAAAUGUCUUCAUGAGAUGAUGAUCUGUGCUUGGUGCCAUCUUGCUUCUUAGUUAGAGAAGGGCUUUUGUUGCUUUCUGACAAACCUAUCAUCCUUUAAGAUUUGUAGCAUAAAUUUAUGGAGUCCUUCCUGUGGUAGUGCAUAUUCAUACAUAAAUUAACUUCAGCUGUUUGUACUAAUACGGUGGGAGGGAAAUUUCAGUGUAUUUUGAGUCACACCUGAGCUUCAGACCUAUCAGCUACACUAAGCUCCUUAAUAGCAGAGCCUUUAAUGAAUAGAGAACAUGAAAGGGACAAUCACUGCAGUGCUGUCACCCCAUUAUUCAGAUAAAGAUCCACUUUUUUCCCUCUUGGUAAACAAACUUCACUUCCCAGGCAGGCAGCUGGUGGAGGUACCUAAUUAGAUACCAGGAAUGCAGCUAUCUAAUCCUGCCUGUCUUGCAAGGGAAACGAGAAGACUGGGACAUUUAACCCAGUAAUUCCCUUCCCAGCAUCUUGACAGCUCUUGCUGUGUCCCCUGCUUUGACCAGUUCACCAGACUGUGCACUCUGUCACAAGCAGUUCCCAAAUGUUUGGCUGAAUCACAGAAUUACAGAAUUAACCAGGUUGGAAUAGACCUUGGAGAUUAUCAUUAAAUUUUGGGGAAAAAGAGCAAUCCAACAGCACCUGAUAACUGAAGGCUUUAAAGUCAACAGAGUUGAACUCUCCUCAGGAAUGGUACAGGGGGUUGUACAACAGCCAUAAAUUGCUUUUUGGGAGGUUCAGGGUAUCAUUUCUAUGAUUUCAGCCCAAAUGUGACAGCACACACUGCUGUAUAGUAGGGCUGACUCCUGAUGGUUGAUGCUUCUGGAGCUGGAAAAAUCACUUUCCAGAAAAAGUAUUUUCUGAUACUGUUACCCCAAGAAUUUUUAUGACACACAUCUGUAUCUGCAGGUGCUUUCAGAAAUGCCAAUAAAAAUAAAACCUGCCCUCAAGAAACCAGCAGGUCUAGAGAAGAGUUAUCCAGAGUAAUUGUAGAGUAGAAUUAUCUGAUGUGCCAAUAUCUCUGUCUCAAUAUCUUUCUCAUAAACAGCUGGCUUUCCUAAUGCAAACCCAGCCAAUAUUUAGUCAAUGUGCCACUUAAUUUCUAAUUUCUAAUUUCUAAUUUCUAAUUUCUAAUUUCUAAUUUCUAAUUUCUAAUUUCUAAUUUCUAAUUUCUAAUUUCUAAUUUCUAAUUUCUAAUUUCUAAUUUCUAAU